UCACCGCGGGACGGCCACGCCCUGUGUCUCCUGGGUCUGGCUCAGCUGGCUCAAUAUGACAACAGCCCAGACUCAGAGAAGUCCCAGGAGGUCUUAGCUGAGGCCUGUCUCAGCUUCCAGGCCAGCAUUGAGCUGGAGGACCAGACGCAGGGCGGACCGCCACCUGAGCAGCUGACACAACAAACAUGGUGGCAGGACCGGCAGAACUCUGAAAAAGAGAAAUCUGCCAAAGCAUCUACAGCCCGACCGAAAGGAGUGAAGGGGCCCUUGCACCCCGGGGGGGCCAAGAGAGGAGCCAGGCGGGGGAGGGGGGGGGCCCGGUCCUGUCCGAGUGACGGCAGCUGUAACCAAAGCUCCAGCCCCCAUCAGGGGGGGGAAGGCCGGGCGACCCGCAGCCAGGGGGCGAGCUGGAGCAGCAGCCAAACCCGGUGGAUCAGCUCAUGCCUCUAAAGCAAAGCUCAACAAGUCCAAACAGGCCUGUUGUCCCGGAACUGUGGAGACAGCAGAGGGUGAGACAGACUUUACAAUCCAAGUGAGAGUGGCUUUCAAGGUCAGAGGGACACAGGUGGAAAGAAACAUGGAGGAGAAAUGUGGUGAAUGUUCUUCAUGUGCUGAAGAGGGAUUUCAACCACCAGCCUGUUUUAAGGGGCCUCUGAAAAUAUAUGUAUGCAUCAUACAUCGUUUGAUCUGCUUGUCAGAGAAGGUCACUCCUCUUCACGUCUGUAGUUCCAGAGGCUCCAGUGGGAGACGGAGACGCUGCGUCCUGUCCAGUGAACUGCAGGUCCCACGUCCCCCGGCUGGGUCUGGCCCGGGCCCUGUCCCGCUCGGCAGACACCCAGGAGGAGGCCCAGCAGCUCUACCAGGAGGUCAUCUCCAUGGCUCCAGGGGUCAGUGGUUAUCUGGGACAUUUAGAGCUCAGACAUUUCCUCAAUAAGAACCUCAUUAACCUCCCUGUUGUGAGGACCACCUGACUG